UCUGGACAUGCCAGAUAUAUUCAAAUUAACAGACUCUUUUAAAUGAAAAGAGUGAAGACUUGGAUACAGUGAGAGUUAGAAAGAAGCUUAUGCAGGCAGGGAACUCCAUAUUUCUUACAGACAUAGGAAGAACUGGCUUCUCAGUUGGGAGAUAAGGAACCACAAACUUACAGAAACCAUAGAUAUUUCCACCUUUGACUCACCAUGCAGACUACAGCAGAAGAGUAGUAUUUGGACUUGGUUUCUUCAUCUUGCUAAGUUAGGUAUCUGAAUUCAGAAUAUUACAAUUUUUAAAAAUGAAACAAGGUCAUAUGUAACAAUAGCUUUUGGUGUCACUGUGAUUCUAUCAUGAAUCUAUAACUGUGACCCUAGAAACUCACAUCUAAUUACAUUAACCAUAGAUUUGGAAAUCUUCUCCUGGGUAUGAACUAUGUU
rnacentral:lncRNA from 1 species